rnacentral:rRNA from 1 species
CAGUAGCCGCGGGAAUACGAAGGGGGCUAGCGUUGUUCGGAAUUACUGGGCGUAAAGGGCGCGUAGGCGGCCAUUCAAGUUAGAUGUGAAAGCCCUGGGCUCAACCUAGGGAUUGCAUUUGAUACUGUUUGGCUUGAGUUCGGGAGAGGUGAGUGGAAUUCCCAGUGUAGAGGUGAAAUUCGUAGAUAUUCGGAAGAACACCAGUGGCGAAGGCGGCUCACUGGACCAGUAUUGACGCUGAGGUGCGAAAGCGUGGGGAGCAAACAGGAUUAGAUACCCCUGUAGUCCCUGUCUCUUAUAC